rnacentral:rRNA from 1 species
AGAGUUUGAUCCUGGCUCAGGAUGAACGCUAGCUACAGGCUUAACACAUGCAAGUCGAGGGGAAACGAUGCGGAAGCUUGCUUCUGCAGGCGUCGACCGGCGCACGGGUGAGUAACGCGUAUCCAACCUGCCCCGAGGUAAGGAAUAAUCCGUAGAAAUGCGGUCUAAUACCUUAUGUGCUCCGAAGAGGACAUCUGAUUUGGAGUAAAGAUUUAUCGCCUUGGGAUGGGGAUGCGUCUGAUUAGAUUGUUGGCGGGGCAACGGCCCACCAAGUCACCGAUCAGUAGGGGUUCUGAGAGGAAAGUCCCCCACAUUGGAACUGAGACAUGGUCCAAACUCCUACGGGAGGCAGCAGUGAGGAAUAUUGGUCAAUGGGUGAGAACCUGAACCAGCCAAGUAGCGUGCAGGAUGACGGCCCUAUGGGUUGUAAACUGCUUUUGUACGGGGAUAAAGGANCCCACGUGUGGGUUUUUGCAGGUACCGUACGAAUAAGGACCGGCUAAUUCCGUGCCAGCAGCCGCGGUAAUACGGAAAGGUCCGGGCGUUAUCCGGAUUUAUUGGGUUUAAAGGGAGCGCAGGCCGUCGGUAAGCGUGUUGUGAAAUGUAGCGCCCAACGCCUGCACUGCAGCGCGAACUGGCUGACUUGAGUACGCACGACGUUGGCGGAAUUUGCCNNGNNGCNGNUGAAAUGCUUAGAUA